GUUCAUCAUGUCUCAUUUCAUUGUACUAAAUAGUUUCUGAGGUACUUCAAAUAAGCUAAAUAUAACAGACAUCACCAUAGCUCUGGCUAACCUUUUUAAAGGAAUUUUUCCUUGCAUUACACUCAGGGAGGAAGGGUAGGGCAGAGGGCAUUCACCUUUUUCUCGGCAGCAAUAAAUUUCCGUAGCCUAAACAGCUGGCUAGUUUCUGUGCUCUCUCUCGCCAGCUGAUGUAUUUAAACCCUGUUUCCCUUUUUUUUUUUUUUUGUUUGUUUUUUGUUUGUUUGUUUGUUUUGUUUGUUUGUUUUUUUUUUUUUUUUUUCCCUCCCUCCUUCCUUGGCAAGAAGGUUGCAUACUCUCUCUCUCCCUUGUUGCAGCCUUAGUGCAGAAUCCUGUUCUUUGGUAAGGGCAGUCUGGCGUUCCCUCUCCUCACCCCAAAAGAUGGAGCCUAGCAAGGGCUGCAGAGUCCAGCUGUUCUACAGCUGUGAAUCUCCCAGAAUUCAUCUCCCAUGGCAAAAGCUGGGAACCAGUCAGACCUCGUACAAAAGUGUCUUGCAAGCC
rnacentral:lncRNA from 1 species